AGGAGUCGUCCCUUAGAGCGAGCGUUUGGGUGUAAAACCCGCACGCGUAAUUAAAGUGAACUCAGGUGAGAGCUUCGGCGCAUCAUCGACCGAGCAUGAUUUUCUCGGAAGGAUUUGAGUAAGAGUUUUAACGGACGGACCCGAAAGACAGUGAACUAUGCUUGUAUAGGGGGAAGCCAGAGGAAACUCUGGUGGAGGCUCGCAGCGGUACUGACGUGCAAAUCGAUCGUCAAAUAUGAGCAUGGGGGCGAAAGACUAAUCGAACUGUCUAGUAGCUGGUUACCGC
rnacentral:misc_RNA from 1 species